rnacentral:pre_miRNA from 1 species
UAUAUACUCCCUCCAUUCGGAAUUACUCGUCGAAGAAAUGAAUGUAUCUAGAUAUAUUUUAGUUGUAGAUACAUUCAUUUUUGUGACAAGUAAUUCCGAACGGAAGGAGUAGAUU